UUGGCCUUAGGGGCAAAAUGGUCAUUUGACCUUUAUUUUCUAUACUUGGUAAAAGCUGAUUUUUUUUAGAGAAGUAAAUGAAUUUCUGGUUUUUGUAUCCCUCACACCCGACCCCUCUCUCUCUCUCUAACCCUUUCUUUUAGAAAUCUUGAUUUUGAGAAAAAAGGGCUUGAUUUGGUGUAGCUUUGUGGAUGUUCUUGCUUGGGAAGAACUUGAGGAACUUGUGGAUUGCCGGCACCUGGUCAGGAGCACCCGGGGAUUUGGAAUCUCUACUAUUGCGGGACAACAGGAAAGGGUAAGGCAUUAGCUGAUCAGCCAUGAGUUUCAGGAGCAGGGCGAAGAAUGUACAUGUUCAUGCCACUUCAGACCAAGCGGGUUAUGGGUCUAACAGUGUUGACUUUUGUAUUCUGUUUUGCCGCUUAGGUCGGCUAGUAAGAAAGAACUUGUAAUAAUUUUGUAAAUAUUUUUGGGAUCCCAACUAUGUUUGAAAAAGUUUAAAUAUAUUACAAGUUUAUUUUCA